rnacentral:rRNA from 1 species
UACGUAGGGUCCGAGCGUUGUCCGGAAUUAUUGGGCGUAAAGGGCUCGUAGGCGGUCUGUUGCGUCGGGAGUGAAAACUUACAGCUUAACUGUGAGCGUGCUUCCGAUACGGGCAGACUUGAGGUAUUCAGGGGAGAACGGAAUUCCUGGUGUAGCGGUGAAAUGCGCAGAUAUCAGGAGGAACACCGGUGGCGAAGGCGGUUCUCUGGGAAUAUCCUGACGCUGAGGAGCGAAAGUGUGGGGAGCGAAC